GUCAGUGUGGCAUAGUGGAUAGAGUGUUGGAUUAGGACCUAGGAGCCCGGGGUUCAAAUCCCUGCUCCGCCA